rnacentral:rRNA from 1 species
AUUGAACGCUGGCGGCAUGCCUAACACAUGCAAGUCGAACGAGUAGCGGACUGGUGAGUAAUGUCUUGGAAACUGCCUGAUGUAGGGGUAUAACUACUGGAAACGUUAGCUAAUACUGCUUACCGUCGGAUGUGCCCAGGUGGGAUUAGGUAGUAGGGGGGGUAAAGGCUCAUAUAGGCGACGCUCCAUAGCUGGUCUGAGAGGAUGACGAGCCACACUGGAACUGAGACACGGCCCAGACGCCUAUGGGAGGCAGCAGUGGGGAAUAUUGCACAAUGGGCGAAAGCCUGAUGCAGCCAUGCCGCGUGUAUGAAGAAGGCCUUCGGGUUGUAAAGUACUUUCAGCGGGGAGGCGUUACCCGCAGAAGAAGCAACGGCUAACUCCGUGCCAGCCGCCGCGGUAAUUC